GUCAAAAUCUUUGACCCACUCAGAACAGACAAUGCUUUUUGCCUUGGAUGAAUUAUCAUGUGCCUCUUCAGAGUGCUCUUUAGUCCAAAUCUUUGACCACACUCAGAACAGACAAAAGCUUUUUUCCCUGUAUGAAUUAUCAUGUGUGUAGUCAGAGUGCUCUUAUGUCUAAAUCUUUGACCACACUCAGAACAGACAA